UACGAAGGGGGCUAGCGUUGUUCGGAAUCACUGGGCGUAAAGCGCACGUAGGCGGACGUUUAAGUCAGAGGUGAAAUCCUGGAGCUCAACUCCAGAACUGCCUUUGAUACUGGACGUCUGGAGUCCGGGAGAGGUGAGUGGAACUGCUAGUGUAGAGGUGAAAUUCGUAGAUAUUAGCAAGAACACCAGUGGCGAAGGCGGCUCACUGGCCCGGUACUGACGCUGAGGUGCGAAAGCGUGGGGAGCAAACAGG
rnacentral:rRNA from 1 species